UGUAAGCAGCACAUCUGGCCCAGAGC
rnacentral:misc_RNA from 1 species